UCUAUAUGUAUCUUGUUUUUCCUUCAUAUCUUUAAAUCUUGAUUGAGGAACAUUGUACUUAUUUUGGGAAUUAAUGUAUGAAAAAUGUUCCUAUUUUGAUCAAUGAAGUCUAAAGCUUGUUCUUUAUUGCAUCUUUUCCCAUAUAUGUUUUUGAUGAUAACAAAAAGGGGGAGAAGAGAAGGAAAGAGUAUUAAUUUAGGAAAGAGUGUAUAUAAGGGAGAAGAGAAGAAAAGAGUGUAUAUAAAGGAGAAGAGAAGGAAAGAGUAUUAAUUUUGUGAGAAAGAGUGAGUAAAGAAGUUUAUGAAAAUAAAAGAGAAAUAAAUAGGCAAACAAAUUAAAAUCAUAUAAGAAAGAUUACAUAUCUAAGGGGGAGCAAUUUGCAACAAUGAAAAUCACAAAAUCAAA
rnacentral:lncRNA from 1 species